ACUCCUUUCAAAUUUGCUGGCUUUUUUAAUGUUUUUUUUUAAAAUAUGUUUUUGUAAAAAUGUCAAUAUUUUUUUUUAAUAUAUUUUACAUUUGAAUUCUAAAGUUGUUGUAUAUAUAAUGUAGUAUUACAUUUUUUAAAUAUUUCUGUGAUAUCUUCUUUAUAAAUGACAGCAUUACUUUUAAUUGUCUGCCUUUUUUUAUUAUGUUUUUUAAUAACACAUUUAAAUUGUAAAACGUUAAUCCUCGUACUAUUGUGAGUUGUGACCUUUUUUUGUCAUAGUUUCAACUUCCUUCUUUCAAUAUGACAACAAAAUUACAAAUACCCCCCCUCAAAAUACAACCUUAAUCUCAUAAAAUAAUUACCUGUUGUUCUAUAAGGACAUGUUUAAUACACAUGUCUGCUUCUUAAAUAAAUGUAUAAUCUUGUACUUUACUUUUUUUCAUAAUUACAACUUUAGUCUUGUAAUAAAACACACUUUUUUGCUUAUAAAUAACAUGUUUUGUCUGUUCAUUGUUAAAGCCAACCAAUGGAAAACACAUUAACUUUAUAAAAAUAAAUAUAUAGUUGCCAGACACUGUAAAAAAACAUGCAUGAUAUUACUGCUGCAGCAUUUAAAAUAUGUAAAAAAACAAACAAAAAAUGUUGUCUUUUCUGGCUUCAUCUGCUUGUGGUUCUGGUCUCGCCCCACCUUUCUCCACAUGGGCACCUUCUCACCCGAAAGCGGGUCACACGUAUCCCGCCAUGCCUCCCCUCUGGAUUCAUUACCCAACACACCAAAAUAGCUCUGACUGAUUUCACACAAUGUUGGAAUGUUAUUCACUGCUGCUGGAUGUUUCGGGACCUUUUUAAAAGUGCUGUGUCAGCAGUUAAUGUGCCCAGUGGUGGUUGCACUAUGAGGGCGCCUGUUUACACCUGUACCACCUCUUUCCUGGGGACACCAAGGCCAAGAUCCUGAAGACAUUUUUUUUUUAUCAGCUAGCUUGAAGAUGACAUUAAGGAAACGACUCCUGUCCAUUUUGUUGUACUGCGUCCAACGUGUGGCCUCGCUUUUCUGCCUACACCCCAAACGCAACAAGAAAAACUGCCUCUCUGCGGGACCCAGGAAUCUGGUGUCUGUCAUCCAGAAGCUUGCCCAGAGGGUCACUCGUGGGAUGCGGACCACUCUGUGAUGCGCUCCCCUGCCCACCCGUGCCGCUGAACAACUACUAAUUCUCAAAUUGGAGCAAUUUUAUUAUGUAUAGUAUCAUUUGAUGGCAUUAAAUAAAUA